UGGGCUUGACAUGCAGGGUGAAACCCGUGAAAGCGGGCGCUCUUCGGAGCCUGCACAGGUGGUGCAUGGCUGUCGUCAGCUCGUGCCGUGAGGUGUUGCCUUAAGUGGCGCAACGAGCGCAACCCCUGUCCUUAGUUGCCAGCGGAUCAUGCCGGGAACUCUAGGGAGACUGCCGGUGCCAAACCGGAGGAAGGUGGGGAUGACGUCGCUGUACCAUAGA
rnacentral:misc_RNA from 1 species